rnacentral:rRNA from 1 species
GAUUUCUGGUGUGAUGCGCCUGGCCCGGUGGGUAACCAUCGAGUGCUGGCGUGCGUCCAUCAUCCUUCUAGGGAACGACUCUGCCCUUUAGUGGGUUGGGGCCGGGAACUAGAUCUUUUACUUUGAAAAAAUUAGAGUGUUUAAAGCAGGUGAUUUGGCUUUGAAUACAUUAGCAUGGAAUAAUAAUUUAGGACUUUGUUCUUAUUUUGUUGGUUUCUAAGGAUGAAGUAAUGAUUGAUAGGGACAGUUGGGGGUGCUAGUAUUCAGCGGCCAGAGGUGAAAUUCUUGGAUUCGCUGAAGACUAACUUAUGCGAAAGCAUU